rnacentral:sRNA from 1 species
AUUAAAAGGAUCCGCGUGUUUUUUAAGUGAAGUCGAGCAAUCGAACGGACACAAACAAUU